UCUCCGUAGGUGAACCUGCGGAGGGAUCAGUACUGAGUGAGGGCUCACGCCCGACCUCCAACCCUUUGUGAACACAUCUUGUUGCUUCGGGGGCGACCCUGCCGGCACUCUGUCGCCGGGCGCCCCCGAAGGUCUCCAAACACUGCAUCUCUGCGUCGGAGUUUAAAACAAAUUAAACAAAACUUUCGACGACGGAUCUCUUGGUUCUGGCAUCGAUGAAGACCGCAGC
rnacentral:misc_RNA from 1 species